UACGUAGGGUGCAAGCGUUGUCCGGAAUUAUUGGGCGUAAAGAGCUCGUAGGCGGCUCGUCGCGUCGGCUGUGAAAACCUGGGGCUCAACCCCGGGCCUGCAGCCGAUACGGGCGAGCUAGAGUUCGGUAGGGGAGUCUGGAAUUCCUGGUGUAGCGGUGAAAUGCGCAGAUAUCAGGAGGAACACCGGUGGCGAAGGCGGGACUCUGGGCCGAUACUGACGCUGAGGAGCGAAAGCGUGGGGAGCGAACAGG
rnacentral:rRNA from 1 species